CUUUGGGUGUGACUGCGUACCUUUUGUAUAAUGGGUCAGCGACUUAUAUUCUGUAGCAAGGUUAACCGAAUAGGGGAGCCGGAGGGAAACCGAGUCUUAACCGGGCGUUAAGUUGCAGGGUAUAGACCCGAAACCCGGUGAUCUAGCCAUGGGCAGGUUGAAGGUUGGGUAACACUAACUGGAGGACCGAACCGACUAAUGUUGAAAAAUUAGCGGAUGACCUGUGGCUGGGGGUGAAAGGCCAAUCAAACCGGGAGAUAGCUGGUUCUCCCCGAAAGCUAUUUAGGUAGCGCCUCGUGAAUUCAUCUCCGGGGGUAGAGCACUGUUUCGGCUAGGGGGCCAUCCCGGCUUACCAACCCGAUGCAAACUGCGAAUACCGGAGAAUGUUAUCACGGGAGACACACGGCGGGUGCUAACGUCCGUCGUGAAGAGGGAAACAACCCAGACCGCCAGCUAAGGUCCCAAAGUCAUGGUUAAGUGGGAAACGAUGUGGGAAGGCCCAGACAGCCAGGAUGUUGGCUUAGAAGCAGCCAUCAUUUAAAGAAAGCGUAAUAGCUCACUGGUCGAGUCGGCCUGCGCGGAAGAUGUAACGGGGCUAAACCAUGCACCGAAGCUGCGGCAGCGACACUGUGUGUUGUUGGGUAGGGGAGCGUUCUGUAAGCCUGUGAAGGUGUGUCGUGAGGCAUGCUGGAGGUAUCAGAAGUGCGAAUGCUGACAUAAGUAACGAUAAAGCGGGUGAAAAGCCCGCUCGCCGGAAGACCAAGGGUUCCUGUCCAACGUUAAUCGGGGCAGGGUGAGUCGACCCCUAAGGCGAGGCCGAAAGGCGUAGUCGAUGGGAAACGGGUUAAUAUUCCCGUACUUGGUGUUACUGCGAAGGGGGGACGGAGAAGGCUAUGUUGGCCGGGCGACGGUUGUCCCGGUUUAAGCGUGUAGGCUGGUUUUCCAGGCAAAUCCGGAAAAUCAAGGCUGAGGCGUGA
rnacentral:rRNA from 1 species